rnacentral:rRNA from 1 species
UACGUAGGGAGCGAGCGUUGUCCGGAUUUAUUGGGCGUAAAGAGCGUGUAGGCGGCCACACAGGUCAGCUGUGAAAACUCGAGGCUCAACCUCGAGACGUCGGUUGAAACCGUAUGGCUAGAGUCCGGAAGAGGAGAGUGGAAUUCCCGGUGUAGCGGUGAAAUGCGCAGAUAUCGGGAAGAACACCCGUGGCGAAGGCGGCUCUCUGGGACGGUACUGACGCUGAGACGCGAAAGCGUGGGGAGCGAACAGG